CCUUGCACGCCUCUUAACAAUGCGCACCCAGCGAGGU
rfam:Fibrobacter sp. TWCM genome assembly, contig: Ga0136281_125